rnacentral:rRNA from 1 species
GAUGAACGCUGGCGGCGUGCUUAACACAUGCAAGUCGAGCGAAGCGCUUUUGCGGAUUUCUUCGGAUUGAAGCAAUUGUGACUGAGCGGCGGACGGGUGAGUAACGCGUGGGUAACCUGCCUCAUACAGGGGGAUGACAGUUGGAAACGGCUGCUAAUACCGCAUAAGCGCACAGUACCGCAUGGUACCGUGUGAAAAACUCCGGUGGUAUGAGAUGGACCCGCGUCUGAUUAGCUAGUUGGUGGGGUAACGGCCUACCAAGGCGACGAUCAGUAGCCGACCUGAGAGGGUGACCGGCCACAUUGGGACUGAGACACGGCCCAAACUCCUACGGGAGGCAGCAGUGGGGAAUAUUGCACAAUGGGGGAAACCCUGAUGCAGCGACGCCGCGUGAGCGAUGAAGUAUUUCGGUAUGUAAAGCUCUAUCAGCAGGGAAGAAAAUGACGGUACCUGACUAAGAAGCCCCGGCUAACUACGUGCCAGCAGCCGCGGUAAUACGUAGGGGGCAAGCGUUAUCCGGAUUUACUGGGUGUAAAGGGAGCGUAGACGGCAUGGCAAGCCAGAUGUGAAAGCCCGGGGCUCAACCCCGGGACUGCAUUUGGAACUGUCAGGCUAGAGUGUCGGAGAGGAAAGCGGAAUUCCUAGUGUAGCGGUGAAAUGCGUAGAUAUUAGGAGGAACACCAGUGGCGAAGGCGGCU